AUAUAUAUAUUUAUAAUAAGAUACACAUUCAAAUAAUCUUUCUCUCCUAUAUGGUAUUGUACUGUAAGGGUCAGGACGGACGGCCAAAAUUGUGCAAGGGCGACCGUCAUACCACCCGAGGAAAUGGUUAGAGGCCCGGUUGUGGCGGCCGGAAUCAAUCAGAAGAAAGCAAGGCAAAACGUAUGACUGAAGCGGGAAACCACCAAUAGCAUGUGCUCGACUGUCAGAGAUCAUGGCCGGUCUCGACGGCCGGUAAGGGUUCGGAGUUAGGUUAUUAAGCAUUCGAGAUUAAGGUAAAGCCAAAAUUAAUCUUAACAGGCCUAUGAUUGGGCCGUGAUUAAGUNCCCACUAAUCAUCGGCCCAUGAGGAAAACUAUAAAUAGGAGUUAAAGGUAAGAGGUAGGGACACAUNGAAUGCUCAUUUAUUUCUCUUUCUCUCUCUAUCUCUACCUUUAUUGCAAAAGAACUUGAACACUGACUUAAGCAUCGGAGUAUCAUUAGCAGGUACCCGGACGGCUGGACAAGGAAGAGUGAUUAACCGAGAGUCGAAGUAACGGAGGACCGGACGGUUCGGAGUGGGAAAUUGUGCAAGGGAGCUUGGACGAAAUCCCGACCGGAACAGGUAUCAUAAAUUUGUCUUUGAUCCAGACUUUGUCUCUUUGCGUUUGACGUUGUGCACUUCUUCUCUUUUCUAUAUCGACUCAUGCUUUGAGGCUUUCUCUUACUUUGUCACCACUCUUAAUUGUCGUUUCGCCUUCCCUCCACCAACAACCUGUUUCCACAAUCUUUUUCCCUUCCUUCUCCAACUUGGGCCUUGACCCUCCUCUUUCCACAAUCGUGAACCAUCCCUCUCUUCCUGCUCGCGUCUUGUCCCUUGAUCCUAACAAUCGUGCACUACCACUUACUACUCAAACAAUUGUCUGUUCUUUUCUUCAUUCAUUUAUGUCCUAUUGUUGACACCAUGUCAUCAAGUAACUCCUAUCUUGGCUCCUCCUCUUCAGGUAAACCUGAAUUUCACCUAGCACUCAUGGUUAGUAAUAUAAAAAGUAGCAUCGCUUU
rnacentral:lncRNA from 1 species